GUAGCACCUUAGAAACCAACUAAGUUUGUUCUUGGUAUAAGCUUUCGUGUGCAUGCACACUUAUACCAAGAACAAACUUAGUUGGUCUCUAAGGUGCUAC